CCUACGGGUGGCAGCAGUGAGGAAUAUUGGUCAAUGGACGAGAGUCUGAACCAGCCAAGUCUCGUGAAGGAUGACUGCCCUAUGGGUUGUAAACUUCUUUUAUCGGGGAAUAAAGCGUUCCACGUGUGGGCUUUUGUAUGGUCCCUAUUAAUAAAGCUCGGCUAACUCCGUGCCAGCCGCCGCGGUAAUACGGAGGAUCCGAGCGUUAUCCGGAUUUAUUUGGGUUAAAGGGAGCGUAGGUGGAUUGUUAAGUCAGUUGUGAAAGUUUGCGGGUCAACCGUAAAAUUGCAGUUGAAACUGGCAGUCUUGAGUACAGUAGAGGUGGGCGGAAUUCGUGGUGUAGCGGUGAAAUGCUUAGAUAUCACGAAGAACUCCGAUUGCGAAGGCAGUUCACUGGACUGCAACUGACACUGAGGCUCGAAAGUGUGGGUAUCAAACAGGAUUAGAUACCCUGGUAGUC
rnacentral:rRNA from 1 species